CACUCUUGUAAUCCCAGCACUUUGGGAGCCUGACGCGGGUGGAUCACUUGAGGUUAGGAGUUCAAGACCAGCCUGGCCAACAUGGCGAAACUCCAUCUCUACUAAAAAUAAAAAAAUUAGCUGGCCCUGGUAGCCAGCGCCUGUAAUCCCAGCCACUCGGGAGGCUGAGGCAGGAGAACUGCUUGACCCCAGGAGGCGGAGGUUGCAGUGAGCUGAGAUGGCGCCACUGCACUCCAGCCUAGGCAACAGAGUGAGACUCCAUCUCGAAAAAAAAAAAAGAGAGACAGAAAGAAAAAGAAAGAAAAGAAAAGAAAUAGUAAGUCUUUAGGUGGCUGCUGUGCAUUGCUCCUAUUACCCACCAUUUCUGAUUUGCUUUAGUCUUCAUUCUUGCAUAAUGGGUAGGUUAACUUAGAAAGAAAAAAGCUUAUGUAGAACCAAAAGUCUAGUCCAAUGUUUUUAAAGGAAAAGCAAAUGACAUGAAUAUAUAAUCAUCUACUGAAGUUACUUUAAAAAGCAAUGAAGCCAACAUGCUUUCUACAGUGCAAGAUAGAUUUUUGUUUUAACCUAGUUAUCAUGGUUGCCAAGUAUUACUUUAACUAUGUAGCUUCGAUUUGUCAUAUGUUUUGGAAAUGAAAUUAGAAAUCUGUGUACCACUUACACCCUGAUCCUCUGAUUGAAGUGUGACUCAUUAUAACCAAGAACUGAUGGGUAAAAAAAAAAAUCUUCUAAGUUUGCUGUGUGCCAGAAUGGGAAAUAUGUGUAUGUGUGUGCUCAUAUAUUUAUAAUUAUCGCUUAUCAUUUAUUUAUGUUUAUUUUAGAAUUGACAAAGAGUAAAGGAGAAUUUGCUGAAAUACUUAUUUAAAGUCUAGUACUAAGCUGUCGGGUACCAUAGUCACUAGCUACACAUUGCUACUGAGCACCUGAAACAUGGCUAUUCUGAAUUGAGAUGUGCUAGAAUGGCACCAUAUGCUACCAGAAAUUCUAUUACCACCCACAAAUGAGAGGACUACCAGCUUGUUACUUCAAAAUAAUGUCACAUUUGCUUUUUUGCCCAAGUGGAAAUAACACAGUAAGUCCCCAUUUGCUAAAUUAUCAGGAAUUCCAGUCUUUUCCCAUGGUUUCCCUCCCCUGUAUAAUCAUAAACAAAAAUCCCAGGCUUGUUUGCUAAUGCCUGAGAAUUGAUGCCUUUGUCUUUAUGGCUUGACAAUGGAGUGGAAACUCAGAUACACUCUUGAGGCUAGAGGGUCACCUCAAAGAUAGUCUAGAGAAGAGUUGGGUCUGUGACAGUGGCUGUGUUUUCUAUUGCUGUGUGACAAAUUAAUAUAAACUUAGUGGGCUGAAACAACAUCCAUUUAUUAGUUCAUACUCUCUGUUGGUCAGAAGUUCAGCACAGCAUGGCCAGGUUCUCUGCUCACGGUAUCAGGCUGAAAUCAAGGUGUUUGCAAGUCAGAGUUCUCAUCUGGAGGCCUGGGGGAGAAUCUGCUCCCAAGCUCUUUCUGUUGUUGGUAGAAUUCAGUUCCUUGAGGGUAUAGGACUGAGGUUCUGUUUCCUUACUAGCUGUCAGCCAAGGGCCACUUUCUGCUCCUAGAGCCUACUUGCAUUCUUUGCCAUGUGGGCCCACCCCCAUCUUCAAGUCAGCAACAAGCAUCACGUUCUUUUCAUUCUUUGAAUCUUUCUGACUUCUCUUUCUGCCAUCAGCCAGAGAAAACUCUUCACUUUCAAAGGCUCAUGUAAUUAGACCAGGCCCACUCAGAUAAUCUCCUUAUGUUAAGGUCAACUAUGACACACAACCUAACAUAAUCAUAGGAAUGCUAUCUCAUCCUAUUCAUAGGUUCUGGAGAUUAGGACCCAGAGUACUGGGGUAAAGGGGUGGUGCAUUUUUAGCAAUCUGUCCAUCACAGUCCUGGGGAUUAUGUAGGGCAUGUACACCAACACAGUGACAGUGGCAGGGAACAUAGCAUCAGAACACUCCCAGCUACCCAGCCCAGCUAGUGGUGGGGUCAAAAGCAAGAGCUGAAUCACUAUGAGGCAGUAACACUUGCUGGGGGAGGAGUGUAGAUGGGUGUGAAGAAUCCUGGUUUGCCAUCGUCCAACUUCACUUCCAAUUUUUACUCACCAUGAACUUUCUUUUUUAAAAAAAUUAUUAUUAUUUUAGUAGAGAAGUGUUUUCACCAUGUUGGCCAGGCCGGUCUCAAACUCCUGAUCUCAAGUGAUCUGUCUGCCUCGGCCUCCCAAAAUGCUGGGAUUAGAGGUAUGAGCCACCGUGCCCGGCCUCAUGAUGA
rnacentral:lncRNA from 1 species